ensembl:snoRNA
AGGCCCUCGUGCCGCCGACGCGGUGCGGCAUGAGGCCAACACAGGAGGGUAGAGGGACUCCUCCAUGAAACCCAGGGACGAGGCCGCCCCUCCUCUCUGGAGCCUGUCUGGAGGCACAGUU